UGAGGAAUAUUGGUCAAUGGGGGCAACCCUGAACCAGCCAAGUCGCGUGAAGGAUGAAGGUCUUAUGGAUUGUAAACUUCUUUUACACGGGAAUAAAGUGGGGGACGUGUCCCCCUUUGCAUGUACCGUGUGAAUAAGGAUCGGCUAACUCCGUGCCAGCAGCCGCGGUAAUACGGAGGAUCCGAGCGUUAUCCGGAUUUAUUGGGUUUAAAGGGUGCGUAGGCGGAAAGAUAAGUCAGCCUGUGAAAGUUUGCGGCUCAACCGUAAAAUUGCAGUUGAUACUGUUUUUCUUGAGUGUACAUAAGGUAGGCGGAAUUCGUGGUGUAGCGGUGAAAUGCUUAGAUAUCACGAAGAACUCCGAUUGCGAAGGCAGCUUACCGGGGUACAACUGACGCUGAUGCACGAAAGUGUGGGUAUCAAACA
rnacentral:rRNA from 1 species